CCGCCCGUCACACCAUGGGAGUGGGUUUCACCAGAAGCAGCUAGCCUGACCGCAAGGAGGGCGACUACCACGGUGAGAUUCAUGACUGGGGUG
rnacentral:rRNA from 1 species